GGCGAACGCUGGCGGCGUGCUUAACACAUGCAAGUCGAACGGAAAGGCCCUGCUUUUGUGGGGUGCUCGAGUGGCGAACGGGUGAGUAACACGUGAGUAACCUGCCCUUGACUUUGGGAUAACUUCAGGAAACUGGGGCUAAUACCGGAUAGGAGCUCCUGCUGCAUGGUGGGGGUUGGAAAGUUUCGGCGGUUGGGGAUGGACUCGCGGCUUAUCAGCUUGUUGGUGGGGUAGUGGCUUACCAAGGCUUUGACAGGUAGCCGGCCUGCGAGGGUGACCGGACACAUUGGGACUGAGAUACGGCCCAGACUCCUACGGGAGGCAGCAGUGGGGAAUAUUGCACAAUGGGAGGAAGCCUGAUGUAGCAACGCCGCGUGCGGGAUGACGGCAUUCGGGUUGUAAACCGCUUUCGCCUGUGACGAAGCGUGAGUGACGGUAAUGGGUAAAGAAGCACCGGCUAACUACGUG
rnacentral:rRNA from 1 species